rnacentral:rRNA from 1 species
UACGAAGGGUGCAAGCGUUGAUCGGAAUUACUGGGCGUAAAGGGUGCGUAGGCGGUUGUUUAAGUCUGUCGUGAAAUCCCCGGGCUCAACCUGGGAAUGGCGAUGGAUACUGGACAGCUAGAGUGUGUCAGAGGAUGGUGGAAUUCCCGGUGUAGCGGUGAAAUGCGUAGAGAUCGGGAGGAACAUCAGUGGCGAAGGCGGCCAUCUGGGACAACACUGACGCUGAAGCACGAAAGCGUGGGGAGCAAACAGG